UACGUAGGGCGCAAGCGUUAUCCGGAAUUCUUGGGCGUAAAGAGCUCGUAGGCGGUUUGUCGCGUCUGCCGUGAAAGUCCGGGGCUCAACUCCGGAUCUGCGGUGGGUACGGGCAGACUAGAGUGAUGUAGGGGAGACUGGAAUUCCUGGUGUAGCGGUGAAAUGCGCAGAUAUCAGGGGGAACACCGAUGGCGAAGGCAGGUCUCUGGGCAUUAACUGACGCUGAGGAGCGAAAGCAUGGGGAGCGAACAGG
rnacentral:rRNA from 1 species